UUGAACGGACAUUACAUUGAUCGAGUAGACCGUGACGUAACUGUAAAUUUUGAUGUAUAAUAUAGAUUUAAAUAUUUGCUAAAAAUGUGGUAUAAUGCUAUGAUACCCUUAGGUAUAAUAGGAGUACUCACAACAGCACCUGCUUACGUUGUACCAUAUAUAUUUAAGUAUUUUACCGGAAACCCAAAUGGAAGAUUGUACGAUAACAAUUUAUUUGAGCAAAUGGGAUAUGUUAGAGACUACGAAUUUGGUGGUAAAAAAGUUUGGAAGUUUAAUGGUUUGGAAGUCAUUCCUGACAAAUAGAGUCAUAUAUAUGCCAGUACUGCAUUAGUCUAUCUUUAGUGGCUUUUACCUUGGUAAAUGUAUUAUGUAAAUAUAACAUCAUAAUAUAUAUA